AUUGCCUUGUUGAAGAUCUUGCUGGCUGCAGCCCCGACUGCCAAGACAAAGACAGACUCUAUCAACAUUUAAGCAGACCUGCUGCCCCUGCCUGAGGAGAUGCCAACGACUGUGUUUCAAUCCAUGAAACUUGGCAUAGAUGUUAACAGACACAAGGAGAUUAUUGUCAAGGCCAUCUCUGGGCUGGUUCUUCUGAUGCUGAAACAUUUCAAACUGAACCACAUUUAUCAGUUCGAGUUUAUGUCACAACACCAGGUGUUUGCGAAUUGUAUCCCAUUGGUGUUGAAAUUCUUCAAUCAAAACAUUGUUUUGUA